AUCAUCAUCUAGGGGAGAAAAUGGUGGCCAAGCCCUGAUCCACCGUCAGUUGGAUGGGAGGGCCAUAGGCCAUCAGGUGCUCUAUCUCGUCGCCAGUGUGUGAUCCAUCCCCUCUCGCGAUCACCUCGCCAUCGGAGUCGAUGAUGCCGCCCUUGGUGGUGCUGCCCACCCGCAUUCCCGGCUCAAUCCUGAGAGCCUUCACCUUACCUUGAAGUACUCCACAUAGGGGGAUUUGACAUAGCUGCCAUCCUUCAUCUGAAACAUCAGCCCAGCAAGAGCCGACCUAGGGCAGUCCUUGAUUAUGGCUACAUCCAAAGUGAGAUUAACCUUUGCUUCUGGUGCUGUCAUGACAUUUUCACUAGCAAAAGGAACACCACUGACCCAAACCGAAACAAAUGGGCCAUCCAGUGAUCUCCACUCAUGAUCAGUUUCAUCAAUUGAAGGGCCUGCGUAAGCACAUGUUUCGUCAUUAAAAUCAUUUGAUCUGUCCUCUUGUACACCAGUGCUAGCCCCAUUUGAUUUGCAACUGCUAAUUUGCUCUACAAGAUCACCAAGUCCUUCGUAUCCUGGGGCUGGAACAAAAAGAACACGCCCAUUGUACCGCCGCAAGCUCACCACACGGAGAAGGGACUGAAAUAAAUCAAGACGAGCACUGCCCAUCCACCUGUACUUCUCUGACUCAAUAUCGAUAUCAGCUACCAGACCUGCAUAAGCAUCAAGACACUAAAAAACCUUGUCUUUCCCUGCACAACAGAGGUAACAUCAAGGGGACGCUUACUUGCCUCUGAUAAUUGCAAGCACAGCGUUAUAAACGGAGAAGGAUUCACCAGCAAAAUGCACAAGUGAUUGCACCAUUCCAUUUCCGGUACCUGCCGGGAUGAUGCCUAAUGGUAUUUUUAUUGCUGUGUUCCAGUCCUCUCUUUGCAGCAGACCAUUAACAACCUCUACAAGUACACCAUCUCCACUGACGCAAACAAUUCCAUCAUAUUUCCUAAGAUCCAGUGAAUGAGCAAUUUCUUGAGCGUGAAGCCGAUGCUUGGUUUCUUGCAUGGUGUAAAGGAUGCCAGCAGCUUCAAUGAGAGGUAGGACCUCAGUCUGGAAAAUCUUCCGCCCACCUCUCUUUCCACCAUAAGGGUUAACUAUGAUGAACAAUCUCUUUGGCCGACCU
rnacentral:sRNA from 1 species